AGUAACACGUGAGCAACCUGCCUUUCAGUGGGGGACAACAUUUGGAAACGAAUGCUAAUACCGCAUAAGACCACAGUGUCGCAUGGCACAGGGGUCAAAGGAUUUAUCCGCUGAAAGAUGGGCUCGCGUCCGAUUAGCUAGUUGGCGGGAUAGAGGCCCACCAAGGCGACGAUCGGUAGCCGGACUGAGAGGUUGAUCGGCCACAUUGGGACUGAGACACGGCCCAGACUCCUACGGGAGGCAGCAUG
rnacentral:rRNA from 1 species